GGUAAAAUGGUGUGUAUUAUGUUUUUACUUUCUCUACCAAUCUGCAAGUAGAAGUACUGGAUUUCUUUACAUAAGCAGAUUUUCCCGUCUAUGUUGGCUCCAGGGUUUUCUUUUAUCGUGAUACCUUGGUUGGUGCGUUCUUAUGGCGACAUAAUUGCAAUCUCGGUACUCAUGUGUUUAUGGAGAAAAAUUAACUCUUUCUUUUUUAUUGGCACCAUGGUCUAUUUUACCCAUGUUCAAAUCAGAAAGCAAGUGGUUGGUGUGUGUUUUGUCUGAUUGAGUUUCAUUCCCAUCCCAAGAAUAGGGGAUGUUAAAGCAGCAGCAGUCCCAAAAUGUUACACUCAUCUCUUGGCAGAAAAGCAGUAUGAGUACGAUGAUUGGAUUGCUGCUGAGAGUGUGCCAUCCAUGGGAGGAGUGAAGAAAAUUAAUUAUGAAUAUUCAUUUGAGAAACCGUAUAACACGACCAGAAACUUGAGAUUCUGAGUUCUUUUUUGUUUCACAGGUAGUUAUUAGUGCUAGAAAAACACGAGGAUUUUACUUACUACUGCUGAGGUCGGUUGUCAUGGUCAUUCACAAAAAAUGUUUUCAAUUAUUCUCACUCAAUCUGGUUUCUUGCUGAUUUUAUGGGCUUCUUUGAAUGAAACCAACUUUAGGUAUGAUCUUCUCUUUGGUUUCACUUCACUGGGUUGGUUGCUGCUGGAAAGAAACCCAUGGCACGACAUUGAAAAGUCCACUCUGAAAUUUGAUUUCUAGGUUACCACUAUUACUAACUUACCCUUAUCUUUCAGUAUUUUGUCAUGUGACUUGUACGCUGUGGGUUCAUAGUCUGACCGCCCUUAUUAUUUUCUAG